rnacentral:rRNA from 1 species
GGGAGGUAGUGACAAUAAAUAACAAUACGGGGUUCUUUCGGAUCUCGUAAUUGGAAUGAGUACAAUUUAAUCUCUUAACGAGGAACAAUUGGAGGGCAAGUCUGGUGCCAGCAGCCGCGGUAGUUCCAGCUCCAAUAGCGUAUAUUAAAGUUGUUGCAGUUAAAAAGCUCGUAGUUGAAUUUCGGGAUCAAAUUGUUGGUCGUGCUUCGGUACGCACUGGCAUUAUUGGUUCCUACCUUCUGAAGAACCGCGAUGUCAUUAAUUUGGUGUUGUGGGGAAUCAGGACUGUUACUUUGAAAAAAUUAGAGUGUUUAAAGCAGGCGCACGCUUGAAUACAUUAGCAUGGAAUAAUGAAAUAGGACGUUUGAUUCUAUUUUGUUGGUUUCUAGGAUCGACGUAAUGAUUAAUAGGGAUAGUUGG